GCCCGUUUCACUACGGAAGGGCUGUAUUUAUUGGAUACCAAAACCAUCCUUCCCUCGGGAAGUUUUGUUUGAUGAUUCACAAUAACUGAUCGGAUCGCCACUGUGGUGGCGACAGGUCAUUCAACAUUCUGCCCUAUCAGCUUUCGAUGGUUGUGUAGUGGACAACCAUGGCCAUAACGGGUAACGGAGAAUCAGGGUUCGAUUCCGGAGAAGGAGCUUGAGAAUUGGCUACUACAUCUAAGGAAGGCAGCAGGCGCGCAAAUUACCCAAUCCCGAUUCGGGGAGGUAGUGACAAAAAAUAACAAUACCGGGCCUUUUUGGGCUUGGUAAUUGGAAUGAGGGAGAGUUAAACGGACCAUCGAGUAUCCAUUGGAGGGCAAGUCUGGUGCCAGCAGCUGCGGUAAUACCAGCUCCAAUAGCGUAUAUUAAAGUUGUUGCAGUUAAAAAGCUCGUAGUUGGACUUGUGUGCGCUGUCCGCGGGUGGCCUGCGCCCAAAAGGGCGUUUCGGUUCGGCCCCGGUGGCGCCUUGAAAUCUGCAGCUGGGGGGGACGUUGGCCUUAACUGGUCGGCGACCGCACGCCGGCUGCUCGGUUACUGUGAGAAAAUUAGAGUGUUCAAGGCAGGCAUUGGGUGCAAUUGAAUACAUUAGCAUGGAAUAAUAAAAUAUGGCUCCUGCCGUAUUUUGUUGGUUUUGACUGGUGGGAGUAAUGAUUGAUAGGGACGGUUGGGGGUGCUAGUAUUGAGCGGCCAGAGGUGAAAUUCAUGGAUUCGCUCAAGACUAACUUAUGCGAAAGCAUUCACCAAGGACGUCCUCUUUAAUCAAGAACGAAAGUUGGGGGAUCGAAGACGAUCAGAUACCGUCGUAGUCUCAACCAUAAACUAUGUCGACUUGGGAUCGGCGGUAGUUUUUUCAUUAAGACACUGUCGGGACCACGGGAGAAAUCAAAGUGUCUGGACUCUGGGGGAAGUAUGGUCGCAAGGCUGAAACUUGAAGGAAUUGACGGAAGGGCACCACCAGGAGUGGAGCCUGCGGCUUAAUUUGACCCAACACGGGGAAACUUACCAGGUCCAGAGAUGUAGAGGAUUGACAGAUUGAAGCUCUUUCUUGAUCACUUCGGUGGUGGUGCAUGGCCGUUCUUAGUUGGUGGAGUGAUUUGUCUGGUUAAUUCCGUUAACGAACGAGACCUCAGCCUGCUAGUGUAGUCGGCUGGAUUG
rnacentral:rRNA from 1 species